AUAAAGAUCAAGAGUAUAGAUCUUGUUUUAAAUAGUUUAAAGAAUUUUUUACAAAAAUUCAAUUGAUUUGGAUAUCUUUACGUCAUUAAACGAGAAACGCCUCUUAUCGACCAUUAAAAUUACAAAUUUUGAAAUCCUUUGAUCAUUAGGCAAAUGAUGUCGAAAAGAUUUGAAAUUUGAUUUCUAAACACUUCAAGUGG
rnacentral:lncRNA from 1 species